AGUGAACGCUGGCGGUAUGCCUAACACAUGCAAGUCGAACGGCAGCACAGUAAGAGCUUGCUCUUACGGUUGGCGAGUGGCGGACGGGUGAGGAAUACAUCGGACUCUACUUUUUCGUGGGGGAUAACGUAGGGAAACUUACGCUAAUACCGCAUACGACCUACGGGUGAAAGCAGGGGAUCUUCGGACCUUGCGCGAUUGAAUGAGCCGAUCUCGGAUUAGCUAGUUGGCGGGGUAAAGGCCCACCAAGGCGACGAUCCGUAGCUGGUCUGAGAGGAUGAUCAGCCACACUGGAACUGAGACACGGUCCAGACUCCUACGGGAGGCAGCAGUGGGGAAUAUUGGACAAUGGGCGCAAGCCUGAUCCAGCCAUACCGCGUGGGUGAAGAAGGCCUUCGGGUUGUAAAGCCCUUUUGUUGGGAAAGAAAAGCAGCAGGUUAAUACCCCGCUGUUCUGACGGUACCCAAAGAAUAAGCACCGGCUAACUUCGUG
rnacentral:rRNA from 1 species